rnacentral:rRNA from 1 species
GAUGAACGCUGGCGGCGUGCCUAAUACAUGCAAGUCGAGCGAACGGACGAUAAGCUUGCUUCUCUGAUGUUAGCGGCGGACGGGUGAGUAACACGUGGAUAACCUACCUAUAAUUCUGGGAUAACUUCGGGAAACCGUAUCUAAUACCGGAUAAUAUUUUGAACCGCAUGGUUCAAAAGUGAAAUACGGCCUUGCUGUCACUUAUAGAUGCAUCCGCGCUGCAUUAGCUAGUUGGUAAGGUAACGGCUUACCAAGGCAACGAUGCAUAGCCGACCUGAGAGGGUGAUCGGCCACACUGGAACUGAGACACGGUCCAGACUACUACGGGAGGCAGCAGUAGGGAAUCUUCCGCAAUGGGCGAAAGCCUGACGGAGCAAGGCCGCGUGAGUGAUGAAGGUCUUCGGAUCGUAAAGCUCUGUUAUUAGGGAAGAACAUAUGUGUAAGUAGCUGUGCACAUCUUGACGGUACCUAAUAAGAAAGCCACGGCUAACUACGUG